UGAAGCGACUAAAAUUACAAC
rnacentral:piRNA from 1 species